rnacentral:rRNA from 1 species
AUUUGGCUUAAUCCUAGUGGCGGACGGGUGAGUAACGCGUGGGUAACCUGCCUUGUACAGGGGGAUAACAGUCAGAAAUGACUGCUAAUACCGCAUAAGCGCACAGGACCGCAUGGUCCGGUGUGAAAAACUCCGGUGGUAUAAGAUGGACCCGCGUUGGAUUAGCUUGUUGGUGGGGUAACGGCCCACCAAGGCGACGAUCCAUAGCCGGCCUGAGAGGGUGAACGGCCACAUUGGGACUGAGACACGGCCCAGACUCCUACGGGAGGCAGCAGUGGGGAAUAUUGCACAAUGGGGGAAACCCUGAUGCAGCGACGCCGCGUGAAGGAAGAAGUAUCUCGGUAUGUAAACUUCUAUCAGCAGGGAAGAAAAUGACGGUACCUGACUAAGAAGCCCCGGCUAACUACGUGCCAGCAGCCGCGGUAAUACGUAGGGGGCAAGCGUUAUCCGGAUUUACUGGGUGUAAAGGGAGCGUAGACGGAUGGACAAGUCUGAUGUGAAAGGCUGGGGCUCAACCCCGGGACUGCAUUGGAAACUGCCCGUCUUGAGUGCCGGAGAGGUAAGCGGAAUUCCUAGUGUAGCGGUGAAAUGCGUAGAUAUUAGGAGGAACACCAGUGGCGAAGGCGGCUUACUGGACGGUAACUG